rnacentral:rRNA from 1 species
ACGCUGGCGGCGUGCCUAAUACAUGCAAGUCGAACGGCUUUUCUAUGGAAGCUUGCUUCCACUGAGAAGAUAGUGGCGAACGGGUGAGUAACACGUGGGUAACCUGCCCAUAAGAGGGGGAUAACAUCCGGAAACGGGUGCUAAUACCGCAUAGUUUUCUUGAUCGCAUGAUCGGGAAAGGAAAGACGGCCUUUGUGCUGUCGCUUAUGGAUGGACCCGCGGCGUAUUAGUUAGUUGGUGAGGUAACGGCUCACCAAGACGAUGAUACGUAGCCGACCUGAGAGGGUGAUCGGCCACAUUGGGACUGAGACACGGCCCAAACUCCUACGGGAGGCGGCAGUAGGGAAUCUUCCGCAAUGGACGAAAGUCUGACGGAGCAACGCCGCGUGAGUGAAGAAAAGGUUUUCGGAUCGUAAAACUCUGUUGUCAGAGAAGAACAAGUUGGAGAGUAACUGCUCCAGCCUUGACGGUAUCUGACCAGAAAGCCACGGCUAACUACGUGCCAGCCGCAGC